rnacentral:rRNA from 1 species
CCCAAGUGGCCGGGGUCUUAGAAUGCAAGUCGACGGAGCGUUAGCAAUAACGCUCAGUGGCGAAUGGGUGCGUAACACGUAGGUGACCUACCCCGCAGUGAGGAAUAACAGCCCGAAAGGGCUGCUAAUACCGCAUGUGGUUCCGGUAUUUAGAAGGCCGGAUCGAAAGCCGAAAGGCGCUUCGGGCGGGGCCUGCGGCCCAUCAGCUAGAUGGUAGGGUAACGGCCUACCAUGGCAACGACGGGUAGGGGACCUGAGAGGGUGACCCCCCACAUUGGCACUGACACACGGGCCAAACUCCUACGGGAGGCAGCAGUCGGGAAUAUUGCUCAAUGGGCGAAAGCCUGAAGCAGCAACACCGCGUGUGCGAUGAAGGCCUUCGGGUCGUAAAGCGCUUUUUGGUGGGAUGAGGAAGGACAGUACCGCCAGAAUAAGGUACGGCUAACUACGUGCCAGCAGCCGCGGUAAAACGUAGGUACCGAGCGUUAUCCGGAUUUACUGGGCGUAAAGCGUGUGCAGGCGGUUUCACAAGUCGGGCAUGAAAGCCCCUGGCUCAACUAGGGGAAGCUGUCUGAUACUGUGAGACUUGAGGGCUAGAGAGGGCGAUGGAAUUCCGCAUGUAGUGGUGAAAUGCGUAGAGAUGCGGAGGAACACCAGUGGCGAAAGCGGUCGCCUGGCUAGCCCCUGACGCUCAGACACGAAAGCUAGGGGAGCGAACGGGAUUAGAAACCCCGGUAGUCCUAGCUGUAAACGAUGUGGACUAGGCGUGCGCGGUCUUAAACCCGUGCGUGCCGCAGCCAACGCGCUAAGUCCACCGCCUGGGGACUACGGCCGCAAGGUUAAAACUCAAAGGAAUUGACGG